GAUGAACGCUGGCGGCGUGCCUAAUACAUGCAAGUCGAGCGAAGCGGGGACGGGUGAGUAACACCUGGAUAACCUUCUAUUAGACUGGGAUACCUCCGGGACACCGGAACUACACCGGAUACCUAUAGAUGGAUUCGCGGUGCAUUAGCUAGUGGGUAAGGUAACGGCUUACCAAGGCAACGAUGCGUAGCAGGCCUGAGAGGGGGAUCGGCCACACUGGAACUGAGACACGGUCCAGACUCCUACGGGAGGCAGCAGUAGGGAAUCUUCCGCAAUGGGCGAAAGCCUGACGAAGCAACGCCGCGUGAGUGAAGAAGGGCUUCGGAUCGUAAAGCUCUGUUAUUAGGGAAGCGGUACCUGAUCAGAAAGCCGCGGCUAACUACGUGCCAGCAGCCGCGGUAAUAC
rnacentral:rRNA from 1 species